AGCAGUGGGGAAUAUUGCACAAUGGGGGAACCCCUGAUGCAGCGACGCCGCGUGAGUGAAGAAGUAUCUCGGUACGUAAAGCUCUAUCAGCAGGGAAGAAAAAAAGUCUUUGGCUUUGGACGGUACCUGACUAAGAAGCCCCGGCUAACUACGUGCCAGCAGCCGCGGUAAUACGUAGGGGGCAAGCGUUAUCCGGAUUUACUGGGUGUAAAGGGAGCGUAGACGGCAGCGCAAGUCUGGAGUGAAAUGCCGGGGCUCAACCCCGGAACUGCUUUGGAAACUGUGCAGCUAGAGUGCGGGAGAGGUAAGCGGAAUUCCUAGUGUAGCGGUGAAAUGCGUAGAUAUUAGGAGGAACACCAGUGGCGAAGGCGGCUUGCUGGACCGUAACUGACGUUGAGGCUCGAAAGCGUGGGGAGCAAACAGGAUUAGAUACCCUGGUAGUCCACGCCGUAAACGAUG
rnacentral:rRNA from 1 species